GCUGAGCUCCAAGGUGGGGUCCGUGGGAUUCUACAAGCUCAUUUUGAGCCUCUUCUCUUUCCUUGACCUUGGGACAGAUGUAAUUGUGGAGUGUGGAAACAGUUUAUCUGUCUGUCCCAAAGGCCUGGUCCCUCCUGCAUUUCCUCAGUUCUGGCUGCAACCUUGACAGAAACUAAUAAAACAAACAAACAACAAAACUGGAGAGGUGUGCACUCCUGUAAUCCCGGCACGUAGAAGAUGGACCACGAGUCUCAGAAAGUUCAAGGUCAUCCUCAGCUGCAGUGACGCUGAAGCUGACCUGGACUACAUUAAUAAGACCCUGUGCAAAGAAAGAGAAGGGCGAGGUCAGAAUAAAGAUGCCAACCAGACUUCAGUUUCUGAGUUUGUGCCGUUGAAGAACAACCUGAAAGAAACUAGACGCUGGAAGAUACCAUUUGGGCAGUGGGAACGAAAAAUGAGGCAAGAAUGAAUUCCUCUGAGGCUGUAAGCAAGCCCCCAAUUAAAUGCUUUCUUUCUUAAGCUGCCUUGGUCACGGUGUCUCUUCACAACAAUAGAACGGUAGUGUGUGGCCACCCCUGAGCCUGAAGACUAGACCCUGCUGGCGAAGGAAAGGCGGCUUUGACAGGUACCCAUCGCUUUGGUUUUCCAGUUUCUGAUUGAAGUCCAUCCUAAUCUUUUGGCAUUUUGAGGCUCCUCUGUGUAGGACCUCCCAUGUAACUCCCCGUCUGACCAGCUCAUUCUGCGUCCCCAUCUGGAUUACUCUUCUCCAUUGCUGUGACAAAAUGCCUGCUGGUUUCAGAGGGAAGCUUGCUCCAGGUGAAGACAGUGGCUGGAUGCUCUGUUGGAGGUGGCGAGAGCUUAUGGGCAGCUUGUUCACAUCUCUGGUGGAUCAGCCAGCAAAGAACAGGACCCAGCGCAGGCCUGAGUUAUCAACCUUCAAGGCCUGCCCUCCAUGGUCUACAUCUGCCAGCUAGGCCCCAUGUCCCAAAGGUUGCAGAAUGUCCCCAAACAGUGCCUCCAGCUGAGGAUCAAACAUUGAGAAACAUGGCCUGUUGAGGGUCAUUGCACAUUUACAUCCUAACUCCAUCCUUCUAGUACUUUCUAUACUAAGUUUCUCUGUGUUGGGCUUUGGUCCCGUUUAGUCAUGGCUUGAGUGUUUGUGGGAAGAAACUGAGCCUGAUAGUUGAGUGAGAUAUAGUUGAUGAAGAUUCACCGUUGGUCUGUGUCUGUGGACGGUGAAAACAGUAGGGAGGCUGUGGCAACUCUAGGUUGAAUGUAUGUUAAACAUAAUUUUAAAAGGGGAAAAUAAUGUAUAGUUGGUUCAUGAAAGGAAGCUGGCCUAUCAUUGCCUGGGAGAACAUUAGAAAGAAUCUGUCAGGGUCUUCAAUGGAAGGAGAAACUUCUCUUUAAAAGCUGGAGGGUGUUAGUUUUUCGGCUGUGUUGUGUUCUUACCCUGCAAGGAAAUGCCACGAAACACGACAGAAUCCGCUAACAAGAGUUUUAUUAAAGGUAAAGGGACAGAGAGUGAACAGGCCUGCGGGAAACACGUGUGUGGAGAAGAAGGAGGAAGAAGAAGAAGGAACCAGGAACAUGGCGCCGGAUUUUAAAGGCUGGGCGUGGACAGAUCAGCGUCACUACUACACGCAAGCGCAUAGAUCACAUGGCCACGUUGCGCGCCUACGUGGCUAGUGGAACGUCACGGAUCUUGGUCACGCGAGAUGCCCUGACCCGGAAAUGGCUAUCCUGACCUGGACCUGGCUAGGCGGAAAUGUCUGCCAGGCAUAUGCAAACACGCCUGACCGUGGGGGCUUGUUGUAAACCUUUCAUAGGGAAGCCUCACUAGUGAGAACAAAAGACAGGAGCUGUUGUUUGGAAAUGCCUCUCCUCUGCAAGCUCUCACAGACAAUGUCAGGAUUCAGUCUACAUGUUUGACCAGCACACUUGAUCCCCAGUGCUUGGAGUUGAACUCAUGUGCUUCAGCCAACAGGUCAUUGUCAUAGCAUGAUGUAUGGAAUGUGAUGUUGAGACCAUGCAGAAAUCACUUCCAUGAAGAUUGUUGCUAUAUCAGACCAGUCUAAUUCCAGCUUUCCCUGAAGGCUCUGCCACUUCCCAGGCUCUGGCUGGGAUGUAGGGUGGCACCAAUCCAGGUAGGUUCCCUGGGGAAGGGAAGUGCUGGGAGAGAGGGCUGUGUGUGUG